AUUGAACGCUGGCGGCAGGCUUAACACAUGCAAGUCGAGCGGAGAUGAGGUGCUUGCACCUUAUCUUAGCGGCGGACGGGUGAGUAAUGCUUAGGAAUCUGCCUAUUAGUGGGGGACAACAUUCCGAAAGGAAUGCUAAUACCGCAUACGUCCUACGGGAGAAAGCAGGGGAUCUUCGGACCUUGCGCUAAUAGAUGAGCCUAAGUCGGAUCAGCUAGUUGGUGGGGUAAAGGCCUACCAAGGCGACGAUCUGUAGCGGGUCUGAGAGGAUGAUCCGCCACACUGGGACUGAGACACGGCCCAGACUCCUACGGGAGGCAGCAGUGGGGAAUAUUGGAUAAUGGGGGAAACCCUGAUCCAGCCAUGCCGCGUGUGUGAAGAAGGCCUUAUGGUUGUAAAGCACUUUAAGCGAGGAGGAGGCUACUGAGACUAAUACUCUUGGAUAGUGGACGUUACUCGCAGAAUAAGCACCGGCUAACUCUGUGCCAGCCGCCGCCGUAAUAC
rnacentral:rRNA from 1 species